rnacentral:rRNA from 1 species
CCUACGGGUGGCAGCAGUGAGGGAUAUUGGUCAAUGGCGGAAACCCUGAACCAGCAACGCCGCGUGAGGGUAGACGGUUUUCGGAUGUUAAACCUCUUUCCUCUGUGAGCAUAAUUACUUUAGCAUAGGAAGAAGCUCCUGCUAACUGGGUACCAGCAGCCGCGGUAAUACGUAGGGGUCACGCGUUUUCCGGAUUUACUGGGUGUAAAGGGUGAUUAGGCGGUCCUGAAAGUCAUAAGUUAAGUCCAUGGUCUUAACGCGUGAACUGCGUUUGAAACUGUAGGGCUUGAGUGAAGUAGAGGCAGGAGGAAUUGCCGGUGUAGCGGUGAAAUGCGUAGAGAUCGGGAGGAACACCAGUGGCGAAGGCGGCCUGCUGGGCUUUAACUGACGCUGAAGCACGAAAGCGUGGGUAGCAAACAGGAUUAGAUACCCCAGUAGUC